GAUGAACGCUGGCGGCGUGCCUAACACAUGCAAGUCGAACGGUAACACUUCGGGUGACGAGUGGCGGACGGCUGAGUAACGCGUGGGAACGUGCCCCAAAGUGAGGAAUAACUGCCCGAAAGGGUAGCUAAUGCCGCAUAUGGUCUUCGGAUUAAAGUAUUUAUACGCUUUGGGAGCGGCCCGCGUCGGAUUAGGUUGUUGGUGAGGUAAAGGCUCACCAAGCCGACGAUCCGUAGCUGGUCUGAGAGGAUGAUCAGCCAGACUGGAACUGAGACACGGUCCAGACUCCUACGGGAGGCAGCAGUGGGGAAUCUUAGACAAUGGGGGCAACCCUGAUCUAGCCAUGCCGCGUGAGUGAUGAAGGCCUUAGGGUUGUAAAGCUCUUUCAGCUGGGAAGAUAAUGACGGUACCAGCAGAAGAAGCCCCGGCUAACUCCGUGCCAGCCGCCGCAGUAACAC
rnacentral:rRNA from 1 species